GGGAUUUCAUAUAUUCAGAUUUUUAUUUCAUAUCUAUAAGAAUUAUUAAAUCCAUGAUAUAAACAAACACCAAAAACGUGUGCGUCGCAUCCGUUACUCAUCGCGUCAUAAUUUUAGAUCCGAUAUCUAAGAUCGAACUGUUAUUUUAGUUGUAGAUUACGUCAUAUAUAGAUUAUGAUCUUAGAAUAUGAACAGAUCUCGUGCUUUGAGAAAGCUGCGGAUAGGUUCCUGUAAGGUUCGAUGUUUUCUCAUAAGUACACGCAGCACCUAGAUAACCAUCAACACACACACACACACACACACAGAGAGAGAGAGAGAGAGACAGAAAGGAAUAUUUUACUGUAGUUAUUUUGUGUUCAUUUUCCCUCUCGCUGGAAACUUAAUGAACGGACCGUCACUGUGCAAAGCGUUCUGUUUUUUCUUCUCUCUUUUACACCCACGCUGAGUCUUUAUCUCUCUCUUCUCUCAGUAACUCAUUACCUCAUCGUUUCCAGCAGGAAUCUGAACCACUCACUCAACAUGGCUCUAAUGACUAAUCUCAAGCCCUACUUUCCUUACCGACCCCACACACACACACACACACACACACACACACACACACACACACACCCUUGAAACACGGCCUCGGGCUGGACAAUACCGAGACUCACUCCGAGUCUAGACUCUUGAACGGCAGCCAAUAACAACACAGAGAGCCAAGAUGGCUGAAACCGAGCGCUUACCUCAGCCACGAGGCUGACAAGAUGCAGGUUUCGCUCUCUGGGGGGUCUGUAUGAAGCGUUUGUCUAUAUCUGACCUGAAAUCUUCUUUUUUUUUUAAAUCUCUCGCUAACAUAUAUCAAUAAUCAGUUAUAUGAGAAACAAUACACAAUAUUUAACUAGCUAAUAAUAAAUAAAAAAAAAAAAAGAUUACCAGGCUGAUAAACUUAUCUUUCUAAACUAUCAGAAAUUCCCACUGUUGAGUUAGCUAGCUAAUACAACCUGACAGGAAUUAGUUAGCGUGCUAAUCUAGUCGAAACUUCCUAGCUAGCCCGCUAGACAUCUUAACCUGCUCGACGGACAACGCGAUACCUUUUUGACGCGAGCUGAAAUGCUAGCUCGGGAAACAGUCGCCAAGGGUCGGUGUACAAAAAGCGAGGAUAUUUGGUGAAAAUACAAUAUUAAAACAUGCUAAACCGGUCGACAACAUCGGUAUGGACGUUUAAAAUUAGCACAGCUAAUGAAGCAAGCUAAUAUCUGGUCUUUCUCCAGCUAUCGCUAGCUAGUGAAAACAAAAUCGACUCGAAUUUGGAAAUUUUCCAUCGUUUUAAUCUCGCUCUGAGACAAAUGCUUGCUUCAAUAAUGAGUUAUACGAGAUAUAUACACACACAAUAGUAAUAGCUAGCAGUAAUUCCAUGACGGGGGGGGCGAAAGAUUACUCACACAAAAAAAAAAAACAUUCAAUUCCCAUCCUCGAGUUUAGCUAGCUAAUGCAACCUGACAGAAAUUAGCUUGCUCAUCACGUCUAACCUAGCUAGCUAGAUAUCGUAGUCAGCUCACCCAAAAAUACAGCACCAACCCUAAUUAAACAUUUCCUAGCUGUGUUUUGAAAUGCAUAAAAGCUAGCUAGUGACGGCUAGUAAACAAAUGUCAGCUCACUAAAAGUACUGACGUAUGAUGAAAAUCCAGAAUAAAGACAGACAGAUGGAAAUAGUAGCUUUGAAAUAUAUAUCAAAACAGCUAACGCAGCAUGCUAAUCUCCUCUCUUUUCCCAUCUAGAACAACGUGCUAGCUAGUAGAAAACUGACAACUUCUAAUUAUGUAACAAAACAGGACUAGCUAGUUAGCAUGCUAGUCAUAUCGUUAGCUUAUUCCCCGAAACGAGGGCUUAUCUCAUUUAAAAAGUCGGCAUUUUUAAGCCGCUCAACGCAUGAAAAAAUAUUAGUCCGCUAUCACGGUGAGAAAAUGUCAAAUCAGCAUGGCUAACACAGCAUGCGAAUGUCCCCGGUUUUCCCAGCUACUGCAACAUGUUUGUAAAUCGUACCGCGUUCUCACCGUUAUGUCUAGCUAGCUUACAUAACAUGACUUAACAGGAAGUAUAUAACUUGCCUUCUAGAUCCUCAGAUAGUCACAUGAGCUAACACCACUUUAACGUCUAGCUGGCUUUUUUUCUUUUUUUUUUUGGUAAUCUAGGCUGACGAGCCAGAAAGCUGUUACGAGUAAACAAACUAUUUAUUUCUGAUCACAGAUCUGAGGAAUAACAUGCGCAACCACACGCUAUCCUCCCCGCUCUCUCCACCUAGCGCCACGUGCUAGCUGGUAGGGGGUGUCUGACUGGAAGAAGGUGACAGCUGGGCGUUUAAGGACAUUUCAUAGAAGUUUCUGGGCCAAAUCCGUCAGCGCUGGACAGAAGCGUGAAGGAGAACGACCUUCCAAAAAACACAGCGUCCAGCCGGAGCCGGAUUUAUCCAACAGGGAAAAUUGGCAGUAGUGGAUACGGACACAGCAACACCAAGCUAACACCUCCAACCUCCAACACAUCCUUCUACACAUGAGCGCGUGCACAACUUCCGCAACCCCAACACCCCCCCCACACACACCCACACUACCCAGUUAUCCAUAUCGGCUUCUCGAUCCUGUCCGUUUAUACUUCUCCAAAAAUCUCAGAACCUCCGUUCCUACAGGACAGAGCACAAUCUUUACCUACAUGAACAGUUCAGAUGAGCGAUACUGUACAUGACCUCCCAAGUACAACUAAUCCAGUCUGAUUAGGUCUCUGGUCUGAAUAAUGAUAAAGUUCAUCGAAAUGAAACCAUCAGAAAGUUUCUCCAAAACUGGAAGUUGGUUUAAUUCUCUCUGCACCGAUAACUUGAUUUUCCUGCCCUUCUCUGCUCUUUAUUCCAUCUUCGGCUUACGUGGAGGAAGUGUGACGCUCUGAGCGGUGCUCUGCUGGGGAACCUUGGGUCCGGGUAUUCAUGUGGAUGUUACUUUGACGCGUACCACCUACCUAAACACUGCUGCAGACCGAGUACACGGUAACGAUAUUCCCUAAUAUCAUUGGUGCCUUUCAGCAGGAACGGUUUGAGGAACAUGAAGAGUUCAAGGUGUUGACUUGACCUCCAAAUCCCCCAAAUGUCAAUCCGCUCGAGCGUCCGUGGGGACGUCCUGGACAAACAAGUCCAAUCCAUGGAGGCCCCACUUCGCAACUUGGUGCUAGAUACCACAGCACACCUUCAGAGGUCUCGUGGAGUCCAUGCCUCGACGGGUCAGAGCCGUUACUGCGGCACAAGACGGACCUACACAGUAUUACUCGGGUGGGUUUAAUGAUCGGUGUAUUAAUACUUUCAGAACAAAAUGGAGCUGGUAGUCAGGACACUUCCAGAGGAAGAAAAAAAAAAAAAAAAAAAAAAAAACAUGCCACGUGAGAAUUUGCGGUUUGACUGGUUAAACACGUGAAGCUCCGUUGAGAAUGCACAAUGUAAACCGACACUUAUGAUUAUUAGGGUGUUGUUUUUUUCCCCCUGAAACAAACACACAGGAAUUUGUUGGGUUUGGAUUUCAGGGAGCGUUUCCAAAUCGCAUUUUAACGUCCCGGCGAGCCACGAUCGUAUCAUGUCGUUUUAGUAUCGCCUAUAAACGUGACGAGAAGGUUGCACUACUCAUGGCUCUCGUGUCUUUGACGUGAGCGUAAUAACACGUCCGUGCUCCGUAAUUAACGUGUCAUUUAGUGCGGGUCUCACUGAGAGCCGCAGCCUGAAAGGAACAGCACGAGUUAUAAUCGUUAUAAUGAGAAGAAGAAGAAGUUUAAGACGAAGAAGAACAGUAAGAAUAAGAAUAAUAAUAAUAAUGAUGAGGUGCUCAAAAAAUAAAUAACGAAACAGGAAAACAAAACGCAACAAACAGCAGGAGCGACACGAUAAAACCCGCCUCCUCGGGAGGUUUGCGUCUCAAUCAUAGCGUCUCUCUCUCUCUCUCUCCAUCGAUCUCACACCUUUAUAAUCACCUCUUCUUUUUUUAUUUCAUCACUUCCCUCCUCCCAUUCUCUCCCAUGCUCACUCGCUCAGAGCUCAGACAAUUAAAAGCUGAACCUGCUACAGGAAGCAGAUCGUUUUUAAUCAUCCAAAACCCCAAGCAGGUUCCUGAUAUCUUCCAGACAACUCGGGUUUUUUUCGUGUUUCGGCUCUCGUUUGUUGUCGUUGUUAAUGCGAAGAUCUUCUCUCACCUCCAUCUGGCAAGGUUCCGGACUUUCUCUCCAUCGCACACGUGUAAUAUUCUGUCUGUACAUUUGAAAUGCUGUUUAAAGUUUCUCAUCAGCGUUAAGAAUAAGUUUUGUUUGUACGUUUUUUUUUAAUAGAAAGAUGUUUUUCCUCCGCGCUUGUAGAAAUAAAAUUAAUUCGAUUCAAAAUGAAAUGAUUUCAUUUCUAUAGUGCUGUACCAAUCAAAUUACGUCCCACUACAUUUACAUUCCACUGAAUAUACGCGGGACAUUUUACAAAAAUAUUGAUUACAUUUGGAAUAAACACUGGAUAUCGUAUCAAUCAAAAUACGGCUUAAGCGUAUUUCAAAACAAAAGUAUUGAGGGACAAAAUCUUACUGUUGAGUAUUUAAAUUUGUAAAUACCAUUUAAUUGUUAUCUGAAAAAAAAUAUAUUUUAAAAGGUCAAAUGUUUUUUUUGAUUUAGCAAUCAAGUUCUCAGGGCUUUAAAUGAAUUUUUUCUUUAAGUUAAUUUAUUCUGUGCAAUUAAAAUAAUGGAGGUGAGGGAAUAAUGAGUUAUUCUGCCUGCUACCACCUGAAGCAACUGGUUACCUUUGUCUUUUUUUUAUUAAAUCACAACAGGAAGGUCGCUCGAUUAAAACUCUCUUCCGGGAUUAGAGUAUAUAAGAGGCAUUAAAUCAUGUUCAGGGAAUAACGAUGGAGCCCAUGCUCACGCGGGAAGUGAAAAGGUUCAAAGUGUCGACGUGACUGAAGAUCUGUUGUAACCUGUUCGAACACAUGUAAACAAACUGACAGUAACUGAUGUGAGAUUAAGAGUCUUGGGUUUAAACAUACAGCUGUUCUGUUCCUGCCUGUUCUGUGGGUUCUACCCUGCUGCUCAUCCACAGCCGUGGAGUUCCUGAUGUCUCCUGAUAAAGAGAGCUGACCUGAACCGUUACUGCCAGAUAACGUGCAGAUGUCACGCUCUCUCUCAGGUCACGUUCAAACCCUGAACACCACUCACGUGUGUUACAGUCUGCUGCUCACACAGGACUCGAAAGCAGAGGUUUAUAUUAUAAAUAUAAAACACACACACACACACACACACACACACACACUUAGAUUAUAUAGACAGAUAUAGAAUGAAUAGGAGGCGCAAAACUUUUUUUUUUAAGAAAGCUAGCUAAAAAAGUUGGUCUGGAACUGUACAGAGGCCACGCCUCCUUCACUCAGACUGACAUGUACAGAGACUGACAGUAACAGAGGCCACACCUCCUUCACCAUGACUGACAGAUACAGAGGCCACGCCUCCUUCACCAUGACUGAUAGAUACAGAGGCCACGCCUCCUUCACCAUGACCGACAGAUACAGAGGCCACGCCUCCUUCACCAUGACUGACGAUACAGAGGCCACGCCUCCUUCACCAUGACUGACGGAUACAGAGGCCACGCCUCCUUCACCAUGACCGACAGAUACAGAACAGAGGCCACGCCUCCUUCACCAUGACCGACAGAUACAGAGGCCACGCCUCCUUCACCAUGACUGUGCGGAUACAGAGGCCAGGCCUCCUUCACCAUGACUGUGCGGAUACAGAGGCCACGCCUCCUUCACCAUGACCGACGGAUACAGAGGCCACGCCUCCUUCACCAUGACCGACAGAUACAGAGGCCACGCCUCCUUCACCAUGACGACAGAUACAGAGGCCACGCCUCCUUCACCAUGACCGACAGAUACAGAGGGCCACGCCUCCUUCACCAUGACUGUGCGGAUACAGAGGCCAGGCCUCCUUCACCAUGACUGACGCAUACAGAGGCCACGCCUCCUUCACCAUGACUGACGCAUACAGAGGCCACGCCUCCUUCACCAUGACUGUGCGGAUACAGAGGCCACGCCUCCUUCACCAUGACUGACGCAUACAGAGGCCACGCUUCCUUCACCAUGACUGACGCAUACAGAGGCCACGCCUCCUUCACCAUGACUGUGCGGAUACAGAGGCCACGCCUCCUUCACCAUGACUGACGGAUACAGAGGCCACGCCUCCUUCACCAUGACUGACGGAUACAGAGGCCACGCCUCCUUCACCAUGACUGACAGAUACAGAGGCCACGCCUCCUUCACCAUGACUGACGGAUACAGAGGCCACGCCUCCUUCACCAUGACUGACAGAUCCAGAGGCCACGCCUCCUUCACCAUGACUGACAGUUACAGAGGCCACGCCUCCUUCACCGUGACUGAUAGAUCCAGAGGCCACGCCUCCUUCCCCAGGACAGACAGUUGUCCUGAUGUUCAUGUUAAAAGUAAAUCUGAAUCAUAUUUGACUACAAGGACGUGAUGAAUGAUAAAACUGUGAAAGGACUGACACAGAACACUUUAUGGAACUGUACCGUCACUGUCAGUUUUCAGAACAUAAAGCAAAAUUCAUAAAUCGUGUUUUAAACCCCGUGGAGUUGCCCUGCUAAUUAAAAACACAGCUACGACCGUUUUGAUUCCAAAUGAAUGCAAAAACAAUUUGACACUUAAUCAAGCUGUUUUCAUUUACUCUGCGUUAUUAAAAUAAAUGAGUAAUAAAACGUGAGAAAAAUGAAAUAAUCCACUCGUUACCACCCGAAGCAGUCGUUUGGGCUCGGCGUUGUUUUACAGUUUAGCACCUCAGCUGGAACGCUUCUCGAGUUCUUAAAUAUCAGCAGUUCCUUCCUAAUUAAAAUGAGCGAAAAUCAACAAAUGCCUCCUUUACAGGUUUCUUCUGGCAUCUGCAUUUCAGACUACUGAGACUGGAAGAGGUGGAUGAAGGGAUGGAGGAUUCAAUGGAUAACUGAUUUAAUACACAGAAGGAUGGAGAGCUAGGAGGCUGGACGCAUAGAUGAGUGGUGGGUAGGUGGAUGGAUG
ensembl:lncRNA